AGAGCACAAGUGGAGAAUGCACACAAAACAUGCUGGCAAAACCCCCGCCCUGACUUGGCAGUGUUUUUAAUCCCCUUGGAACCUUUGUAGAUAUGCCCACAGAGUACUGUGGCUUUGGGUGCACAGCAUUUGCUACACAAUGGAAUUUCUGGAACAAAUUUAUCUUGUUGGUUAUGGAACAACACUACUAAAGUCUGCGCUGCCCAUCCUGUCUGCUGAACAGCCAAAGGUAGUUCUCUGCCUCUGCUCUGGAGAUGGGAUGAGGUACGUGAGAAGCUACUGUGAGAAACAGAAGUGACAAAGCCUGGCAUCUCUUUGCUGCUUUGUUAGAAGUCCCAACCUCUUUAUUCUGUCAACGUGACUUUGAUUUAGCUGAUGCUCUCGAUCACCCAGAGGAUAUAAUUACCAGGAAGCCCACAGUGAUCAGAAGACCAACAAGACCUCUGAUGAACAAUGAUCUGCAUUUAGGAGAUGCGCUUGGUGGCGGUGACAUCCCAAGACAACCGUUAUACCCACCUCUUCCGCCGCGACCAGGAAGCCAUAGUAAUACUGGUAAGAAUAUUUUCUCCUCAGAAAAUCUAGCACUAGGAACUGUUCAGAGAAGUUAUUUUGAACACUUUACUCUCUUAUUUCUUCAUGUUAUUCAUAUAUUCAUAUUCUUCAUUAAUUAUUUAUAUUUUUUUUUAUCAUCCCUUCCUGAUAUUUCCCUUUUAUUUUUCUUCUUCUUCUUCUUCUUCUUCCUCUUCCUCUUCUUCCUCUUCUUCUUCUUCUUCUUCUUCCUUUUCUUCUUCUACUUCUUCUUCUUCCUCUUCUUCUUCCUCUUCCUCUUCUUCCUCUUCUUCUUCUUCUUCUUCUUCUUCUUCUUCUUCUUCUUCUUCUUCUUCCUCUUCUUCUUCUUCUUCUUCGUCUUCUUCUUCUUCUUCUUAUUAUUAUUAUUAUUUUCACUAUUCUUGACCCAGUGUUUGGAAAGAUUUUCUGAGAUUUUGUUCUGGCACUAUAAGACUUUUCUGCCUCCCCUCCCAAAUCAAAGGACAUUGACUUCUAACUGGCAUGAGACUAAUAUUUAUCUUGUUGCUCCUUUUAUUUUGGGUAUGUAUACACAGAACCGUGCUAAGGUUCAAAUUUGACAUCUGUCUACAUGAAGUGGAUAAGGCUAUGUACAAAUCCAUACUGAGAGAUGGGUCUGAGAAGGCUCUAGGGUAUACAGCAGGUGGGACAGGGGAUAUGGAUUUAAGAUUCCUUUCAACUGUUAUCCCAGACAUACACUUAAAUACAAUGGAGGUGAUACAUCUAUCCUAGCUAUUGCCAUGUAUCUCAUGUUUACUUCUGGUAUGACUGUAGUGAUGCUCUGUGGAUAUGCCCUUCUGGAGCCCUUCCUAGAAGGGACCCACUGAUUUCCUGCUACAAGAGCUGCUGGGAUUUGAGUUGUCCUUACUAUAUUAGGAUCCAUUCUAUUGAAGCUCCAGGUUCUCACAUCCCAUGAGUGUUUACUUCUAUGAAUAGAACUGGGCCAGUUAAUGAGUGGGGCUUUUGCAUAUUGUAUUUAGGACCCUAAAGUGGCUCCAAGAUUCGGACUCACUCCAAAUACAGAACAAAUUUAACAUAUUUACAGACAUACAUGUCUUCAUGCUCAGAAUGGGUAGACAACAACAGUACUUUAGCUUCCAGUGAAUGUAAAUGGGUAACUGCUUCUGUAAGACAGCUGCCAUACGGACACCGGGAUUUCAAAGGUCCCUCACCUUUCCCCAGAACUAUUAAAAAAAAGGCAGAGAAUGGAACUGAAGAGGUUACCACUGUUCAGAUAAUUUUGCAACAGAAGUCCUAAUUUUUAUCUUGCAGGAGGAUUUAACGACUACGAUCUUGUUGAUGGGAAGCCUUUACCACCACACAUGGCUGGUAGUAUUUGAUGAUUCCCGUUGCAUUUUCUUGUUAAUAUUUAUAAAUCAGAGCUGACUGGUUUUGCUUUAGCACAGAUGUUUAUUACUGAAGGUGUAGGAUAAGACUCUGCUAUUUUUAUUUUGACUAGUCAUCUUUCUCCAUGGCUUUUAGCACAAAGCUUUAGCUCCUUUGAAACAUAUCCCUAAAGACCUUGCAAUGUUAAGCCAGAACCUUGCAG
rnacentral:lncRNA from 1 species